rnacentral:rRNA from 1 species
GGGGAAUUUUCCGCAAUGGGCGAAAGCCUGACGGAGCAAGACCGCGUGGGGGAAGAAGGCUCUUGGGUUGUAAACCCCUUUUCUCUGGGAAGAAAGUUGUGAAAGCAACCUGACGGUACCAGAGGAAUCAGCAUCGGCUAACUCCGUGCCAGCAGCCGCGGUAAGACGGAGGAUGCAAGCGUUAUCCGGAAUGAUUGGGCGUAAAGCGUCCGCAGGUGGCAGUUCAAGUCUGCUGUCAAAGACCGGGGCUUAACCUCGAAAAGGCAGUGGAAACUGAACAGCUAGAGUAUGGUAGGGGCAAAGGGAAUUCCUGGUGUAGCGGUGAAAUGCGUAGAGAUCAGGAAGAACAUCGGUGGCGAAGGCGCUUUGCUGGACCAUAACUGACACUCAGGGACGAAAGCUAGGGGAGCGAAUGGGAUUAGAUACCCCAGUAGUCCUAGCCGUAAACGAUGGAUACUAGGUGUUGUCUGUAUCGACCCGGACAGUGCCGUAGCUAACGC